rnacentral:rRNA from 1 species
GUCCACGCCGUAAACGAUGGGCACUAGAUCCUUGGGGGAGCGACCCCUUGAGGGUCGGCGCUAACGCAUUAAGUGCCCCGCCUGGGGAGUACGGCCGCAAGGCUGAAACUCAAAGGAAUUGACGGGGGCCCGCACAAGCGGUGGAGCAUGUGGUUUAAUUCGACGCAACGCGAAGAACCUUACCUGGGCUUGACAUGCACGGGAACUCGUGGGGAAACCUGCGGGGCUCUUCGGAGCUCGUGCACAGGUGCUGCAUGGCUGUCGU